rnacentral:rRNA from 1 species
UAGGUCGAUCUGCUCCAUGAAGUAAAAUUUAAAUAGCUGCAGUAUAUUGACUGUACAAAGGUAGCAUAAUAAAUUGUCUUUUAAUUGAAGAAUUGAAUGAACGAAUUGAUGAAAUAACAACUGUCUCUAUUUUAUUGAAUGAAUUUAAAUUUUUAGUUAAAAUGCUAAAAUUUAAUUAUGGGACGAUAAGACCCUAUAGAAUUUUAUUUAAAUAAUUAUUUAUUUAAAUUAUUUGUAAAUAAAUAAUUAAUUUAAAUUUGAUUGGGAGGAUUGGUAAAUAUAAAUAACUUUAUCUUAUAAAUAAUUUUAAUUAGAAAAUAUUUUUUGAUCUAUAAAUUAUAAUUAAAAGAAUAAAUUACCUUAGGGAUAACAGCGUAAUAUCUUUUGAUAGACCAUAUUGAUAAAGAUGAUUGCGACCUCGAUGUUGAAUUAAGAUAAAAAUUAGACGCAGAAGUUUAAAAAUUUAAGUCUG